ACAUACGACCAUAUCCGCAAGAGAAUUCGGGAUCCCGUCCGCUCUCCCCUAGACAAACUUGCGAGAGCCAGAUUAGUAGUUGGGUCGGUGACGACCAGCGAACCGCUGGUGUUGUAUGUU
rnacentral:rRNA from 1 species